rnacentral:lncRNA from 1 species
GUGCCAUGUUUUUGGGAAUUUUCGGCCAAAUCCAAAGGCUGGAUUUUUGGGUUCUUGUUUGACUUGUUAAAAGUGUUUUCAAGUGACUUUUGGAACCCCUAUGCACCCUAGUUUGGUUAUAUGUUAUUUCCCUUAAGUUUGAAUGGUUUUGGGAUGUUUUUGGGUGAAAAAUGUUCAUGGAAAUUUUUGAGUUUUUCAUGAGUGUUCUUCAUUGUUCUUGACAUUUUUGCCAAGAACAAAAAGUUUGGUGUUUUGAUUCAAAGUUUUAAUUUAUUUCAUAAAGUUUAUGUUUUAUGAAUUUUCAAAUGUUUAAAUGUAUUAGAUAUUUGUUUAGAAAGGUGGUAGAAUUAUUGGUGGGUGUGUAAGGAUUAAUUCCCUUUCACACACACCACUUACACUACUUGCACCACUUGCAUGCUUUAUGUCAAAACUCACAAAUCAACACACACAUCACUCCUUUCCCUCUCCAAAACCGGCCACUCCCUCAAUGGGAGUACUUUUGGGGCUUUUAUGCAAUUACAUAAAGUUUUGAUACUUUUGUGUAUUUGCACUUUGGCCCAAAAGUUUACGUUUUUACGUUUAGGUCCACAAACGCUAAAGGACAAAUUGUUUUGCUCCUUUAAUGAAGUUUUUGCAUUGUUUAAAUUUUGGGUUCUAGUUGUAAUUACAUGAAGUAGUGGACUUUUGUGUUUUUACAAAGUGACCCCAAAAGUUUAUGUUUUUGCAAUAUAGCCCAAAUGCCAAAUGUUGUGGUAAUUGCAUAUUGGCCCAAAUUAGGUUGAGAGAACAAAAUUGUUUUGUCUCUUUAAAUGAGAAUUGGAUUUUCAUUUCAUUUAGCUCCAUUUAAAUCAAUUUUAUGGAUACAAAAACCAAAUGAAAAUGUUGCAUUCAAUUUAAUUAGUUAAAGUGUUAAUUAAUUAAAGGGUGAUUAUGAACCUAAGCCUACGAUAAUUGAGUUAUGUGAAAGGCCGUUUCAAAUUUGUUUGAACCAUGGGAAUGUGUAGAUUAGAUUUUGGUUGUAAUUUGAUUUGAUCAAAUGUUGUAAAAGAGCAUAAGCUCUUCUUUACUUUAAAGUAAUUUAUUUUGAUCAAUUGUUGUAAAAGAGCAUAAUCACUUCUUUACUUUGAAGUACUCCUUUCUUGUAUUAUUUGAUAUGCAUGAAAAUGGAGUAGAGGGUCCAACGCCCCUAAGACAACACGCCUUAAUGUGAUUAAACGCGUAACUAAAAUCAAUCACCAUCCCUAGACCGAGAUUCAACACUAGGCUCGUGUUGAAUCUAAACAAAGGUUCAUAGUCAUCCUAAGGCCCUAAGGCAACUAUAUAGUCCAUCAAUGAAUGCAAACCUUAUGUUAGUAGUAUCAUAUACUCUUGCUUAAAAACCGUUUUAUAAGCAUAGUGGGAGUAUUAUAUACAACUAAAACAAUCAAAUUGACCAAUAGUUGUAAUAGGACCAAAAUUGUUUUAAUUAGAUUAAAAUGUAUGUUUAUAUGUGAUGAGACCUAAAACCCUCAACCAAACCAUUAUUAAGUUGACAAGCGUGAGAGUGCUUUGAACACUUUUUCGUGGCCUUCCACCGUGGUAGGCUCCAAUCGUUUAUGACUUGUACACCGCCUUCACCCUAUCAUGGGGGAGUGCAAAGUGCAUGCUUAUACUCAGGAGGAGUUUAUUUAAAACAUUUGAUGAGGUUAAGGUAGGCAACGAGUGUGGCCAACAUCGUAUCAUCGUGAGGUCAUACUUGAACCCGUAUCUAAACCGGCAUGGUGGGAAAGAACUUAACUAAGAGGAAAUGGUGCCAACAUCGUAUCAUCGUGAGGCAUUGUUUUCUAGAGGCCAAAAAGAUGGGUAAUCACAAGAGGUUGUUGUGAAUGAGUAAGCGUACUCUCUCAUUAUUAUUAAUGCUAGCCAACAUCAUAUCAUUGUGAGGUGGGCUUGGUAGUAGUGAGUCUCCCAUACCCUACUAAGAGUUUCCUCCAAAAACUCUCGAAUUCCAAUGAGGGAUAUGGAAUUUGCCAAAAAUAGUGGGUGGUGCUAUUUGAUUUAAAGACCCGAAUCAAAUAGCUUAAAAUCAAUCAAUUUAUAUUCGUUAUGUAUUUGUUUACCAAUAUAUUUGCAAACGUUAUCCAAAACUUGACAAAUAAAAGUCGAAAGCUUUAGUUUCCGGACUUGGUACUACAAAACCAUAGAUUGUCUUUAAUGGCUUGUAAAUGUACCUAA